GCUUGUCUCAAAGAUUAAGCCAUGCAUGUCUAAGUAUAAACAACUUUAUACUGUAAAACUGCGAACGGCUCAUUAUAUCAGCAAUAAUUUAUUUGAUGGUUUCUUACCCCAUGGAUAACUGUGGUAAUUCUAGAGCUAAUACAUGCGUAAAGUCCCGACUCUUUCUGGGGAGGGAUGUAUUUAUUAGAUAACAGACCAAUGCCCCCCCGGGCUUUGUGGUGACUCAUAGUAACUAAUCGGAUCGCAUGGGCCUGUCCCGCGACAAACCAUUCAAGUUUCUGCCCCAUCAGCUUUCGAUGGUAGUGUAUUGGACUACCAUGGCUUUUACGGGUAACGGAGGAUUAGGGUUCGAUUCCGGAGAGGGAGCCUGAGAAACGGCUACCACAUCUAAGGAAGGCAGCAGG
rnacentral:rRNA from 1 species